rnacentral:rRNA from 1 species
GCGCGAAAACUUUACAAUGCAGGCAACUGUGAUAAGGGAACCCCGAGUGCCCGUAUGGACGGGCUGUUCAGGUGCUUAAAAACCACCUGGAGAAAGGGCCGGGCAAGACCGGUGCCAGCCGCCGCGGUAAUACCGGCGGCUCGAGUGGUGGCCACUAUUACUGGGCUUAAAGCGUCCGUAGCUUGGUCGUUAAGCCUCUGGGGAAAUCUUCCGGCUCAACCGGAAGGCGUCUCAGGGGAACUGGCGACCUAGGGAUCGGGAGAGGUGAGAGGUACUCUGGGGGUAGGAGUGAAAUCCUGUAAUCCUCAGGGGACCACCUGUGGCGAAGGCGUCUCACCGAGAACCGACUCCGACAGUGAGGGACGAAAGCUGGGGGAGCAAACCGGAUUAGAAACCCCGGUA